UAAUUGGUACUCCUAAUCGGCGGCACAAGUCUCGUGUUUGCCAUGUGAACAUGCUCAAGUUAUACCACCCCUGGCCUGCAUCAGAAACCACUGGGGUGUGUGUUCCGGCUGCAGCUACUACUCAAUUAGAAGUAGAUGAACUGGGUGAUGCUGAUGGUAUAAAAACAAAUUAUCCCAUCUGUUCUAGUCCUUGACUUACAAAUUCAGAGAUGUUAAAAUCUCUGAAGAAUCAACUUGACCACUUGUCCCCCAAACAUCAGGAGGAUGUAGUGAUUCUAGUUAAUGAGUACAGAUGUUUGUUUGGUGAUGUUCCAACCUGCACUACAGUGCUAGAACAUGACAUAAAUGUCCAAAAUGCAAAGCCAAUCAAGCAGCACCCUUACCGUGCAAACCCUGUGAGAUGUUCACUAAUGAAGCAGGAAACUGAAUAUCUGUUGAAACAUGGUUUAGCUAAACCUAGUCAAAGUCCCUGGAGCUCACCCUGCUUACUAGAAACCAAGUCAGAUGGCUCACCACGCUUUAUCACAGACUUUCGGAAAGUAAAUUCUGUCACAGUACCUGACUCUUAUCCUCUCCCCAGGAUCGAGGAUUGUGUGGAUAAUAUUGGAGUUGCAAAGUAUGUUACGAAGUUGGACCUUCUUAAAGCGCCUUAUGCGGUGGGCAUUACUUUUACAAGAAUACAAGCUGAACAUCCGACAUAAGAGAGGAACAGAAAAUGUUCUCGCCGAUGGCCUUUCCAGGAUGUGAGUAUGGGUUUUUUGGUUUUUUUGUGUGACAUUUUGUAUUUACAAAACUUGGUUUUGUAAUUUAAGGGGGGAGUGUUACGGCCCCUGGCCUCUUGAGGCUGUGCAGGCUCCUUUUCUUUUUCCUUUUCGUUAUGCAGAUUCAGCUGUGGGGGCACACCUUCCUGAUUGGCUGCCUGGAGACUGUGUUUUUUUUUUUUUUUUUGUGUAACUUGGGUAAAAUUGUAUUGUGUUUUGGCUUUGUGAAACCCUCUUUUGUAAUAAAUCCUUUUACAUUCCA